rnacentral:rRNA from 1 species
GACAGAGGGUGCGAACGUUGUUCGGAAUUACUGGGCGUAAAGCGCAUGUAGGCGGCAGCGCAAGUCGGGCGUGAAAUCCCACGGCUCAACCGUGGAAGUGCACUCGAAACUGCGCAGCUAGAGUCCUGGAGAGGAAGGUGGAAUGCUUGGUGUAGAGGUGAAAUUCGUAGAUAUCAAGCGGAACACCGGUGGCGAAGGCGGCCUUACUGGACAGUGACUGACGGCUGAGAUGCGAAAGCGUGGGGAGCAAACAGGGAUUAAGAUACCCGUG